rnacentral:ncRNA from 2 species
UUCUUAUCAAGAGAGGUAGAGGGACUGGCCCGAAGACACCUCAGCAACCAGCCAACGUUUUAGGUAUGGUGCUAAUUCCAGCAAGUUGAUAUCAACUUGGACGAUAAGAG